rnacentral:tRNA from 1 species
GCCUUGGUGGUGUAGUGGUCAGCACGCUCGGUUCGUAUUCCAGAGGUCGGCGGUUCGAGUCCCGAUGAGGGCA